rnacentral:rRNA from 1 species
AAAGGGUGCGUAGGCGGUUUAUUAAGUCAGUGGUGAAAGACGGUCGCUCAACGAUUGCAGUGCCAUUGAUACUGGUAGACUUGAGUGGGAUUGAGGUAGCUGGAAUGGAUAGUGUAGCGGUGAAAUGCAUAGAUAUUAUCCAGAACACCAAUUGCGUAGGCAAGUUACUAAGUCUCAACUGACGCUGAGGCACGAAAGUGUGGGUAUCAAACAGGAUUAGAUACCCUUGU